CCCUGUCCAGAGCCGUUGGAGCAUGUGAGGUUUCAGGAAGGAAGGGAGGAGCUGCUUUGUUUUCUUCCUAGGAAAGGCCAGCAAUGGGAUGAGUGUCAGGAACUGCCAUUUGGGAGUUAAGAGAUCCUAUAGCCUGUUCUUCCACUCUGAGGCAUGCGAUCAAAAGCCUGUGGAAAUUAUUCUGAGAAGAAAUUGACUAGAGAUCCUAUCAACAUGAAAUACCCUGUGAAACCCGAGAAGCUCCUGAAAUGAUGGAUGACAUCAAGAGCCAAAAGAACAAAACGUCUGCAGAAGAGAUCCUUAAUCACUUUGUGAAGCCUGUUGAUCUGUUGUCAACUUCUUAACUUAAAGCUUGUGCUGUCAUAUAUCUAACUUUAAAGUUUAAUGAACCAGUUGGUGAAUGAAAAUCUCUGUUAAAAAAUUCAGUCCUGUCCCUUCAGCUGCGGUGUGAGCAAUAGCACACUUCACUGGAUGCUCUCAGCAAGUCCCUCCUUAAAACAGUAGCACCAAAUAAGAUCUAAUUUUCCUAAUAUUUGUAGACUACAAUGCAAGAAGGACAAUACUUGAGAUUUUCUGUAUUCCUGAAGAGUAAGUUAAAAAAACAACAACAAAACAGUGAAAGCUUCUCCCCAGGUUAUAUGCUACACCUCUUUAAUUUACAAGUAUUUUACUACUGAAAUUGAGUAUCAAUGUUAUUUAAAAUUUUUAAAAAUUGCCCACUAGGUGGCUGUAAUUGUUGUGGCCAUGCUUAAUUUUUGGUAUCAAAUUCCCAUAUUUAAAAAAAUCCGUUCUUCCUUUUUGUUGAUCUUCAGCACAUGCUCUCAAUCUCCAAGGCUGUCUUUGUAACAAUAGGAUCCUCACCUUGGAAAUUUCAGCAGUUUAUAGGAAAUUUAGUUGUUCAAAAUGGCUGCUGCAAUGGGCUUGCAUAACAUGUAAGGCACAGAAAUCCACUGCCAUUUGAAGGAUAAAGUGGGAAUUCAUUUUUCAUUAUUGAAAGAAACACUUUUUUUCUGCUAUUACAAGGAAUGAUCAAAGACUCGGAGCGCUUUGGAAAGAGUUUCCAAUAGUGUGGCAUUUAAUGUGAGCAGCUUGUGAUUACUGUUGGAGCACAAAAACGUUGUAAAUCUGAUGAAGGAGAGCCCAGAAGGCAGGAUUGAGCAUCUCCUGUGUCCUAGAUUCAGCAGAGGAGCUGAUGUGAAAAAGAAGCAGGAUCUGCUGGAAGGAAAGCUCAAGUGAUGUAUCACAGGAAAUAAAAUUUCCCUGCUGUUGGCAUGGGCUGUAGUCCAGGAACAGCAGUGCAUCUGGGUAGAGGAUUUGCAAAGAGUUUGCUGGCUGUGGUUCCUCCUGCAGUUUUCCUGAAGAUCCACCCAAAGGGAAUAGGCUCAGGUGGAGAGGGAGAUUUCCCCCAUUCAGCCAGUGAGCAGGGCACUGAUGCUUCUUCUGAACAGAAAUGCCUGAAAAUAAACAUCUACAUAUCUUUGGCAGCUCUUGACUGCAACAUAUGAAAAGGGAACUGCCUGUCUACAAGUUUUAAGCAGCAUGCAAAGACAUUUGUAGGAAUUCUCCACAAAGGAUGAGCCAGCACGGAAUCACUGAGGCAUUGCUGCAGACCCUUGGGCAUGGUGCAUGGUCCUGCCAGCAGCACAUAAAUCUGCCUUUAAUGGGAAUUAAUUCAUUUCUAUUGAGGAAUUUGCCCACCAGUUUAGCACUGCACCAAAGGGGUUAUCAGGGGCCAUCAGGUUUCAUAAGACUUAAGUGCCACUUCAUUAAGUGUCUUUGAAAGAUAGUUUGUACAUCUGGAGUAAGAACAGUUCGGCCGGGGCAGUGCCUGUGGCUCACCUAAAAAAAAC